rfam:Tetrapisispora blattae CBS 6284 chromosome 2, complete genome
GGGCGUGUGGUCUAGUGGUAUGAUUCUCGCUUUGGGCUAAUACAGCACGAAUAUGCGAGAGGCCCUGGGUUCAAUUCCCAGCUCGCCCC